AGUGAACGCUGGCGGUAGGCCUAACACAUGCAAGUCGAACGGCAGCACAGUAAGAGCUUGCUCUUACGGGUGGCGAGUGGCGGACGGGUGAGGAAUACAUCGGAAUCUACUUUUUCGUGGGGGAUAACGUAGGGAAACUUACGCUAAUACCGCAUACGACCUACGGGUGAAAGCAGGGGAUCUUCGGACCUUGCGCGAUUGAAUGAGCCGAUGUCGGAUUAGCUAGUUGGCGGGGUAAAGGCCCACCAAGGCGACGAUCCGUAGCUGGUCUGAGAGGAUGACCCGCCCAAGUGAACUUGAACACCGGUCAGGCCCCCUCGGGAAGGCCCAGUUGGGGAAGUUUGGAAAAUGGGGGCAAGCCUGAACCAGCCACGCCGGGGGGGGGAAGAAGGCCUUCGGGUGGUAAAGCCUUUUUUUGGGGAAAAAAAAAUAGCGGGUUAAUCCCCCCGUGUUUUGCGGGAACCCAAAAAAAAGGCCCCGCCAAAUUUCGU
rnacentral:rRNA from 1 species